AUAGCCUUUAGCAAAAAUAGUAUUAAAGGUGCCGCCUGCCCAGUGAUAACAUUAUUAAACGGCCGCGGUAUCCUAACCGUGCAAAGGUAGCGCAAUCACUUGUUCUUUAAAUAAGGACUAGUAUGAAUGGCACCAUGAGGAUCAACUUGUCUCUCAUAACAAGUCUAUGAAACUGAUCUUCCAGUACAAAAGCUGGAAUAAACCCACAAGACGAGAAGACCCUGUGGAGCUUUAGACUUAACCUCACCAAAAAUGAUUACAUAGUCUUUAGUUGGGGCGACUUUGGAGCAAAACACAACCUCCAAAAUCUUAAACCUCAGGCAGACAUGCCAGACCACCACCCUCUUGAUCCAAUAAAAUUGAUUAAUGAACCAAGUUACCCCAGGGAUAACAGCGCAAUCUUCUUCUAGAGUCCCUAUCGACAAGAAGGCUUACGACCUCGAUGUUGGAUCAGGAUACCCAAAUAGUGCAGCCGCUAUUAAAGGUUCGUUUGUUCAACGAUUAAUAUCCUACGUGAUC
rnacentral:rRNA from 1 species